rnacentral:rRNA from 1 species
GGGGGGCAUCUUCUCGUCUUUAAGACCUUCUUUGGAGGUAUGCUUAAGGAGGGGCUUGCGACACAUUAGUUAGUUGGCAGGGUAAAGGCCUACCAAGACUAUGAUGUGUAGCUGGACUGAGAGGUUGAACAGCCACAUUGGGACUGAGACACGGCCCAAACUCCUACGGGAGGCAGCAGUAGGGAAUUUUCGGCAAUGGAGGAAACUCUGACCGAGCAACGCCGCGUGAACGAUGAAGUACCUCGGUAUGUAAAGUUCUUUUAUUAAGGAAGAAAAAAGAGUGGAAAAACUCCCUUGACGGUACUUAAUGAAUAAGCCCCGGCUAAUUAUGUGCCAGCAGCCGCGGUAAUACAUAAGGGGCGAGCGUUAUCCGGAAUUAUUGGGCGUAAAGGGUGCGUAGGCGGUUUAAUAAGUCUAUAGUUUAAUUUCAGUGCUUAACGCUGUUGUGCUAUAGAAACUGUUUUACUAGAGUGAGAUAGAGGCAAGCGGAAUUCCAUGUGUAGCGGUAAAAUGCGUAAAUAUAUGGAGGAACACCAGAGGCGUAGGCGGCUUGCUGGGUCUUUACUGACGCUGAGGCACGAAAGCGUGGGGAGCAAACAGGAUUAGAUACCCUGGUAGUCCACGCCGUAAACGAUGAGUACUAAGUGUCGGGUAAAACCGGUACUGAAGUUAACACAUUAAGUACUCCGCCUGAGUAGUACGUACGCAAGUAUGAAACUUAAAGGAAUUGACGGGACUCCGCACAAGCGGUGGAUCAUGUUGUUUAAUUCGAAGAUACACGAAAAACCUUACCAGGUCUUGACAUUUUCUUGCGAAGUUAUAGAAAUAUAAUGGAGGUCAUCAGGAAAACAGGUGGUGCAUGGUUGUCGUCAGCUCGUGUCGUGAGAUGUUAGGUUAAGUCCUAAAACGAGCCGCAACCUUUGUUCGUUUAAUUGCCCAGGCAAUGUUAAUGA